UAAAGGUCAGGGAGGGCGCUAGCAGCGGCUAACCGGCAGAGAGUCGGUGAACCGGGGAACUACCGGGGACACAGCGGGGAAGGAGCGAGGAGAGAUGGGGCAGAGAAAUAAGACAGGAAACACAAACACCACCGGUGUUAAACGUGUAGAAAAAGCAGAUUUAUUCCUGGAACUUUGCACCGCGGACAAAGCUAACUGUAGCUAACAGCUAACGUUAGCAUGGCGACCAUUUUAGAGCCGCCAGAGAGGAGACGGACCGGAGAGAAACCCGAGAUAGACCAGAGACAGAGGCGGGAGGAACGGACCGUGACACCGGGAAACUGACGGUAAAACCUCAGACGCUGUUUCGGAUGGACUGUGGGAGCACCAGCAGGUUGACCUAAUGAAGCUUCAGGACAGAGUGGAGGACAAACGGCUCCUACAUGAAGGUGGUGAACAGGUCUUUUGGAUCGUUGCUCAGACAUGAGGGACCAAACAGGGACGAUGUAUUUCUGCUGGGGGGUCUGGAGAUGCAUUCAGUGCAGCUCUGCAACACUCAGGGUUCCGCUGAAGAACCUUCAUCUGGUCCACCAUCUACUAACACUGAAGAACAUCUGGUCCACCUUCCACUACCACUGAAGAACAUCUGGUCCACCAUUUACUGCCACUGAAGAACCUUCAUCUGCUAUCAUCUACUGCCAUUAAUAAACGUGGUGUCU
ensembl:lncRNA